rnacentral:rRNA from 1 species
GAUGAACGCUGGCGGCGUGCCUAAUACAUGCAAGUCGAGCGAACAGACGAGGAGCUUGCUCCUCUGACGUUAGCGGCGGACGGGUGAGUAACACGUGGAUAACCUACCUAUAAGACUGGGAUAACUUCGGGAAACCGGAGCUAAUACCGGAUAAUAUAUUGAACCGCAUGGUUCAAUAGUGAAAGACGGUUUUGCUGUCACUUAUAGAUGGAUCCGCGCCGCAUUAGCUAGUUGGUAAGGUAACGGCUUACCAAGGCGACGAUGCGUAGCCGACCUGAGAGGGUGAUCGGCCACACUGGAACUGAGACACGGUCCAGACUCCUACGGGAGGCAGCAGUAGGGAAUCUUCCGCAAUGGGCGAAAGCCUGACGGGGCAACGCCGCGUGAGUGAUGAAGGUCUUCGGAUCGUAAAACUCUGUUAUUAGGGAAGAACAAAUGUGUAAGUAGCUAUGCACGCCUUGACGGUACCUAAUCAGAAAGCCACGGCUAACUACGUG